CUUGAAAAAGAGAAGAUCAAAAAGCUUCUUUAAGAAGCUUUCUUGAUGGAGGGGAGUGGCAGACGGGUGAGUAGCGCGUGGGAAUCUACCGUACCCUACGGAAUAGCUCUGGGAAACUGGAAGUAAUACCGUAUACGCCCGUAAGGGGAAAGAUUUAUCGGGGUAUGAUGAGCCCGCGUUGGAUUAGCUAGUUGGUGGGGUAAAGGCCUACCAAGGCGACGAUCCAUAGCUGGUCUGAGAGGAUGAUCAGCCACAUUGGGACUGAGACACGGCCCAAACUCCUACGGGAGGCAGCAGUGGGGAAUAUUGGACAAUGGGGGCAACCCUGAUCCAGCCAUGCCGCGUGAGUGAUGAAGGUCUUAGGAUUGUAAAGCUCUUUCAACGGUGAAGAUAAUGACGGUAACCGUAGAAGAAGCCCCGGCUAACUUCGUGCCAGCCGCCGCGGUAAUAC
rnacentral:rRNA from 1 species